CAAACCACGCGUACUCCUGCUAACAAGUGUAUUACUCUUUAGUUUUAAGCAAACCACGCGUACUCCUGUAUGAUUUCUUCGAUGUCGUCUUCAGAAUCUAUCCUGCUAACAAGUGUAUUACUCUUUAGUUUUAAGCAAACCACGCGUACUCCUGUAUGAUUUCUUCGAUGUCGUCUUCAGAAUCUAUCCUGCUAACAAGUGUAUUACUCUUUAGUUUUAAGCUAACCACGCGUACUCCUGUAUGAUUUCUUCGAUGUCGUCUUCAGAGGUAAUUGUGACCAAAUUCUCUGAUUCCACGGCUCCAGUUCAGUGGCUGUUUGGGGCGUAGAAGAUGACAGUGAAUGAGAUUUUGAAAUGAAGUUUUUGUUACUGGGAAUCUGAGAUGAUCUGCAACCCUUUGUUCAUUUACUGAGGCACCCAUCUGGGAAGUUUUGCUACUGGAAAGAAAUCUCUCUUUUGAGAAGAAUGUGUGGUCAACAUGUUCUAAAAUGCUAGAUGAAGCAAUAUAUUUUGCUGUGCUAGGAAAGGAUAUGCAUUGCUGAAGUUUUUGGGCCAGAUGAAAUAUAAGAAGCAGAAGAUGAAUCUGCCUUACACACCAAUGUGCCACUGUUGGCCAUGUAUUUGUUCUGUCUGAUGUACUUGCUACAUAUCCAAGUUGUGCUUACUGUUCAUAAAACUGGCCAAUAAUGCACAUAUUGUACAUUUGUAUAAGAGCGCAUAUAAACGUUUGAAGAGAUAAUUACCAUAUAUUGGGCCCGUGACCAA